rnacentral:lncRNA from 1 species
AGCAUUUUUUCUCCAUGAGAUUUUAACUUCGUCUGGAAGAAACCCAAAUGACUAAACUAAUGUAUAAAUUAAUGAAUGCAUAGAUGCCUAAAAUGUUUGUUUUGUGGGUGUUUUUUUUUUUACACCUGAAGGAAUGAGUUUUAUUUUCUAUAAAAUGUUUGACUCUCAAUGACUCAUGUUAACCAAUUGGCACAUUUUCUUUCUUCCCCGAAAACCAAAUUGUUAAGAAAACAAGAACUUUAGAACAGGGAAGCAAAUUGACUGCAUCUGUGCUGUCUGAGUUAGGGGACUAGUCGUGGGCUAAAAGUAGAUGGCUGGACGUGACACAUAUUUGGAAGUAAGGAGUGACUCAAGGACAGAAAGGAGUCUGGGAUGAGUAAGUCUUCGUCUCCUGAGUUGCUUGGGCAACAAGAGCGAAACUCCAUCUCAAAAAAAAAAAAAAAAAAAAGUAGGGGAAAGGGAAG